AACCUCCGCAAUGUGAGAAAUCGCGACGGGGGGAUCCCAAGUGCCAUUCUUAACGGGAUGGCUUUUCAUUAGUGUAAAGAGCUUUUGGAAUAAGAGCUGGGCAAGACCGGUGCCAGCCGCCGCGGUAACACCGGCAGCUCUAGUGGUAACAAUUUUUAUUGGGCCUAAAGCGUUCGUAGCCGGUUUGAUAAGUCUCUGGUGAAAUCCUGUAGCUUAACUGUGGGAAUUGCUGGUGAUACUGUUGAACUUGAGGUCGGGAGAGGUUAGCGGUACUCCCAGGGUAGAGGUGAAAUUCUGUAAUCCUGGGAGGACCACCUGUGGCGAAGGCGGCUAACUGGAACGAACCUGACGGUGAGGGACGAAAGCUAGGGGCGCGAACCGGAUUAGAUACCCGGGUAGUCCUAGCCGUAAACGAUGCGGACUUGGUGUUGGGGUGGCUUUGAGCUGUUUCGGUGCCGUAGGGAAGCUGUUAAGUCCGCCGCCUGGGAAGUACGGUCGCAAGACUGAAACUUAAAGGAAUU
rnacentral:rRNA from 1 species